rnacentral:tRNA from 1 species
GGGGGUGCGCCGAAGUUGGAGAGACGGGGCAGACUGUAAAUCUGUUGGCUACGCCUGAGUAGGUUCGAAUCCCACCACCCCCACCA